rnacentral:rRNA from 1 species
UUGGCGGACGGGUGAGUAACGCGUGGGUAACCUGCCUCACACUGGGGGAUAACACUUAGAAAUAGGUGCUAAUACCGCAUAAGCGCACGGGACUGCAUGGUCUUGUGUGAAAAACUCCGGUGGUGUGAGAUGGACCCGCGUCUGAUUAGCUGGUUGGCGGGGUAACGGCCCACCAAGGCGACGAUCAGUAGCCGGCCUGAGAGGGUGGACGGCCACAUUGGGACUGAGACACGGCCCAAACUCCUACGGGAGGCAGCAG